rnacentral:rRNA from 1 species
GAUGAACGCUGGCGGCGUGCCUAAUACAUGCAAGUCGAGCGAACGGACGCGAAGCUUGCUUUUCUGAUGUUAGCGGCGGACGGGUGAGUAACACGUGGAUAACCUACCUAUAAGACUGGGAUAACUUCGGGAAACCGGAGCUAAUACCGGAUAAUCUUUUGAACCGCAUGGUUCAAAAGUGAAAGACGGUCUUGCUGUCACUUAUAGAUGGAUCCGCGCUGCAUUAGCUAGUUGGUAGGGUAACGGCUUACCAAGGCAACGAUGCAUAGCCGAGCUGAGAGAGGGAUCGGCCACACUGGAACGGAGACACGGUCCAGACGCCUACGGGAGGCAGCAGUAGGGAAUCUGCCGCAAUGGGCGAAAGCCUUGCGGAGCAACGCCGCGUGAGUGAUGAAGGUCUUCGGAUCGUAAAACUCUGUUAUUAGGGAAGAACAUAUGUGUAAGUAACUGUGCACAUCUUGACGGUACCUAAUCAGAAAGCCACGGCUAACUACGUG